UAACAAGGAUUCCCCUAGUAACGGCGAGUGAAGCGGGACCAGCUCAAGGCGGGAAUCGUAAUGCAUUGACUUGUAUUACGAGUUGUAGCCUAUGGGCCGUACAUCUAACCAUAGCAAAGCGGGACAAGUUCCUUGGAAUAGGACGCCAGAGAGGGUGAUAGCCCCGUCUGCCCGAGUGUUGCUAUGGAGAUAUGUUGUAUGGUUCGAGAGUCGGGUUGUUUGGGAAUGCAGCCCUAAGCGGGAGGUAUGCACCUUCCAAAGCUAAAUAUUCAGGCAAGAGACCGAUAGCGAACAAGUACCGUGAGGGAAAGUUGAAAAGCACUCUGGAGAGAGAGUGAAAAGCACGUGACACAUGGGUAGGGAAGCGCUUGCACGGUGCAGCUGGCGUCUGUUGCUUCGGGAGUAGGCGUCGCCCAGCACCAGUUUGCUUAUAAUCGCUGGAGAAACGGGGGGUCAAGGUAGGGCGUUGUGUAUGCGGCGCCUGUUAUAGGGCCCUCUGAGCUACAGUGAGGCGGACUGAGACCGCGGCAUUCCCUGCAUUUUUUAUGUUAGGGCGCAAGGAUGCAUUGAGCCUGUGGUGCUGCUACGGGGUAAAGACAGCAUGCUGACUUUGCCUGGGCAGUGCUCGGACAUCUCUAUGCAACUUGUACUGAUUGCCAAGGGUUGCUGGGAAGUGCUGAACA
rnacentral:rRNA from 1 species